GGCUAGAUGGCCGAGUGGUUAUGGCGUGUGACUCAAGCUAUGUGCUUAGUCUGUUCAACAGAUUUAAUUUCUCAUGGGGAAACCCGCGGGGGUUCGAAUCCCCCUCUAGUCA
rnacentral:tRNA from 1 species